AUGCGUCGGAGCCUCCGCCGGCGCCGGCGCGGCCUGCCCUCAUCAGUCUCCCCGCAGCGGGGAAGCGGUUCGCGUGUGCAACUCCGUGUCGGCUCGGGCUGCGGGCUGCGAGCGCUCUGCGGCGCACACGAAUAUUUUUAGAUAACAGCACGAAUAAUUUAUUUGCAAGGUAGUGAUCGCGCGCACUUUUGCGGAUAUCGGUAUCGGCGCAUGCGGGUUCGCGUGCGCUGCGCAAAGCGGUGGACGGCGGCGGGUGUCGGCUGCGCCCGCCGCCCGCCGGCGGAGACGUCCCGAUAGGUGCGUGAGGCGAUAGAGUUGCUGCAAGCUGCGCGGGCGCACUCCUCAUCGCUGGAGUGUCGACACUGGAUGGACUGGAUGAACUCCCCUACUAGACAGAUGGAUGACAAUUAGCGGAGGAGAGAAGUAUUGUAGUGCGCGCUGUGCGCCUGAGUCAGCAUGAUGUCAUAGCAGCGGUGAUGCGGCUAAUGGGAGCGUCCCGCCGCCGACGUCACAUCCCAUUCCCGCCGCAUACUUCACCCAAUCGAGCGAUGACAAAUCCAUUCAUAUUCUUCCAUUGCCGUUAACUGUUGUGUUAAACAUUGAAUUCUUGCAAUUCCGAAGCAAUUAAAGUCCAUAUAACGAAACGGCACAUGACGCUCGUUGCUAACUGACUGCGGUUUUCCUCUUCUCAGCGAAUUUACGCUUUAGGUAAGUUACAUGGACAUUAUUCAGGUAUUUUUCCUACAGAUAAUGUGUUCCUAGUUUAUAAUGUAAAUGGUUUCACCGGGGAGUGAACAGAGAAGCAAGAAGAUCUGGAAGAAAGAAGAAAAGGAAUAACGAAACUGGUUUUCAUAAUGAUUUGACAGAUUGUUCAAUAUUCUGAGAUCAUUGUGAAAGCUGAUUUUGUUCCUAGUUCAACGGUAGCGGUUGUCAACCAACGAGAAGAAUAAUUAACAGGAAGAUUAUUUUGUCAUUUUAAUGUAUAAUUGUGUAUGUGUAUGUAUGUAUAUUUAGAAGUAUGUUAUGUACUCAAUUCAAUACUUGUUAAAAAUUAAAGACUUUGGCGUGUAAAUUAAGUGAUUUAUUUGGAAAAUAUCUUUGUAAUUUCUGGUUGUAUGAGCCCUGAAAUAUCAUCAUGGGAUUGUGAUCAUGUAAAAUGUCUUUGAUAUAUGUUUAAUGAGGAUGAAUACUAAUAUUGGAGUGUGUUUUAUUGCGUAAAAUGUAUACAAACGUAAUGUUUUACUAUAAAUAUGUUAUUUGACACAAAGUACCUACCUAUUAUAGAUUGUAAGCU